CCUACGGGUGGCAGCAGUGGGGAAUAUUGGACAAUGGGGGGAACCCUGAUCCAGCCAUGCCGCGUGUGUGAAGAAGGCCCUCGGGUUGUAAAGCACUUUCAGUGAGGAAGAACGCCUGGUGGUUAAUACCCAUCAGGAAAGACAUCACUCACAGAAGAAGCACCGGCUAACUCCGUGCCAGCAGCCGCGGUAAUACGGAGGGUGCGAGCGUUAAUCGGAAUUACUGGGCGUAAAGCGCGCGUAAGUGGCUUGAUAAGCCGGUUGUGAAAGCCCCGGGCUCAACCUGGGAACGGCAUCCGGAACUGUCAAGCUAGAGUGCAGGAGAGGAAGGUAGAAUUCCCGGUGUAGCGGUGAAAUGCGUAGAGAUCGGGAGGAAUACCAGUGGCGAAGGCGGCCUUCUGGACUGACACUGACACUGAGGUGCGAAAGCGUGGGUAGCAAACAGGAUUAGAUACCCGAGUAGUC
rnacentral:rRNA from 1 species